CCUACGGGAGGCAGCAGUAGGGAAUAUUGCUCAAUGGGGGAAACCCUGAAGCAGCAACGCCGCGUGGAGGAUGAAGGUUUUCGGAUUGUAAACUCCUUUUGUUAGAGAAGAUAAUGACGGUAUCUAACGAAUAAGCACCGGCUAACUCCGUGCCAGCAGCGGCGGGAAUACGGAGGGUGCAAGCGUUACUCGGAGUCACUGGGCGUAAAGAGCGCGUAGGCGGGAUAGCAAGUCAGAUGUGAAAUCCUAUGGCUUAACCAUAGAACUGCAUUUGAAACUGUUAUUCUAGAGUAUGGGAGAGGUAGGUGGAAUGCUUGGUGUAGGGGUAAAAUCCGUAGAGAUCAAGAGGAAUACUCAUUGCGAAGGCGACCUGCUAGAACAUAACUGACGCUGAUGCGCGAAAGCGUGGGGAGCAAACAGGAUUAGAUACCCCAGUAGUC
rnacentral:rRNA from 1 species